GGGAGAGCAAGUUAGAGAAAAACCUGGGUGAGAGGGUCAGAGAGACGGAGAAAGAGAGGGAGGUAGAGAUGGAGAUGGACGGAAUAGAAGGGGGAUUGAGAGAGAGAGGGAGGUAGAGAUGGAGAUGGACGGAAUAGAAGGGGGAUGGAGGUAGAGAGGGAGGUAGAGAUGGACGGAAUAGAAGGGGGAUGGAGAGAGAGGGGGAGAGCAAGGUAGAGGAAGAGAGGAUGAGGAAGGGAAAAAUAGGGAGCGGAGGGAGUGAAAAAGAGGGGGAGAUGGAGAGAGAGAGGGGUGGAAAGAGAGAGGUGAAGAGACAGUAGAGAGAGGAAGAGAGAGUAGAGAGAGGUGAAGAGAAAGAGAGAGUAGAGAGAGAGGAAGAGAAAGACAGUAGAGAGAGGAAGAGAAAGAGAGAACAGAGAGAGGAAGAGAAAGAGAGAGU
ensembl:lncRNA